UUCACGUGUGCUCAUGUUUACAUGUUGUGUUUCUUCGUCUAUAAAGUGAAUUCUGUAUCUAAAGUAGUGUCUUCUAUAUCUCCAUCGAGAAUAGAGAGCUAUAAUCCAUAGUGGUGCCCUCGAAUACGUUUUCGAUCGCAAUUAUCCGUUUCGUUAAGCGCGUUGCAGUUACUCGUUACUGGCCAACAAACAAUGGAUCGCCCACGGUGUAGUGUUUAGGACCCUGCUUUUCAUUCCUACAUAUUGGACUUUGACUGCGAAGCACAGGCAACGUCGACAUUCCAAGUACCAGCUUGAAUUGAUUAUGGAUGUGCUAGCCAUACCGGCCUUCAUACAACGAAUCUAACCUCGUCUGCUACACGAGAAUUGAUCUAACCUCGUCUGCGCCACAGCAGGAUCCGCAUACUACAGCUACAGUCCAGAUGGCGGCUACCAUGUUCCUUUUGUCGUCCCAGAUCACGACAGUUGAAACAGGAAUUCAUACCACAACCUCUUGUCUCGACACAUCUUGUUCACAACAGAUGGACAAUUAUACCUGAUUCGUGUUGCAGUGUUCCGUUUGGCUUUCCGACUUACCGCCUCGUCCUUCAGCGACCACGGUCGUUCUACCCGCGCCGGUAAUUUUCUCAUCCGCUCGUGCCGCGUCGUGGAACCUCGGGCGACACACCACAUUCUCAUCUCACUUAAUAUGGCACCAUCAAUCAAGAUUUUGCAUCAUCCACCAGGGAGGUACCAGUGUAGCCAUCUACAACGCAGCCUCCUCCACAGCAUAUGGAAGGUUAACUGUUGGCUAUGCAACAUGCUCCCACAGUCAGAUUUCCCAAGCAGCCUCAACUACAAAAGGGAAAUCCAAAGACUUGGUUCGCCCUUGUGGACGACCUUCUAGACUUGCAUGGAAUGCUGGAUGAUGAUGCUCGGUUUAUUUUCUUCGUUAGUCACCUACAUGAUCACACAGAUCUUACCAGCAACCUACUAUUGGGCCAACAGCACAGCUCAAAUGUGCUACAGCAGGGCAAGAAUCAUUGAACACCUGUCAUGUCCACCGGCAGCUGUACAUCACAAAAUCCACAAAGAACACCUCAGCACAAGAUCGCAAUCGCAGCUGUGGAGGCACCUAUGGGAACAGGACUCGCGAAGUGGCAUGUCUGUCGGCGGUUGCAGCUCGCCAUGGAGUGAACCGGCGACUGGUAGCGGGGGACACUCCAACUGCAUCAAUGAGUGCAUCCAGCAUGAAGAACAGAUCGGUGGAACGAGUUGGUAUUUCCAGAACCCCACAUUCAAAAGUGCGUGGAAUCUGUGGCUGUCAGACCAGCAUCAAUUUGUUCUGCGUGCUCAGACCAGCAUUCAUCUCAUCAUCAGGUGGGGGGGGGGGGGGGGAUGAUGAACUCCUAUUGGCUCCUGAAAAUAUUGUUCUGGGCUUUCCAUCAACCACCCUUCCUGACUGGUUCCUGCCCUACCCCUUCCACACCCAGUCUCAUUUUGCCAGUGUCAGUUGGCCAGUGCGGUUGCUCCUUAGUUGUGUGUGUCAGUUUGUUGAAAAUGAAGCGUUCAGCAACAUCGACUACCAUCAGUGUGGGCAGAAAACGACAUAGAAUUGUAGAAGAAGAAGAAGAAGAUGAAGAAGAAGAAGAAUAUGGAUUGCCACAUACGUAAAUAAUUUUGUUUGUUUGUAAAUAUAUGGUUAUUGUGUAGAAAUCAGGAAAAAAAAUUUAGUGUGUUAAAAAAUUCUCAUCGGUAAUUCAGUUUCGUUUCCUUGUUUUACAAUGCAACUCCAGGAUUUUAUCCUAGAUUGCAAGGGGCAGAUAGGAGGAGGAAGAGGGCGCUAGGCCACAGGGAACUCUCCCUGUUGAGGUCCAGCCUCCUUUGGAAAGCCUGCAACUAGAACUGCUAUCUCACAUGGUGAAAAUGCUGCUUGAGCUGGAGGCAAUGCUGGAAGCUGAAAAAAUACACCACCCACACGCUGUCAAACAGCCUCCAGCAGCAAAUACACAGCACCAACAGUCACAUAAGUAUAGAAAAAAAGAGAUAUUUGUGUAGUAGUAGCUCUGUAAUUAAAUGUUUCGUCUUGUUGCAGCGACAAUUCUAGCGGGAUUAGACCUCCUAGACAGGCAGCUGGAGGCUGUUCACCAACUGCAGCAGCAGUCUUCAACACCCAGUGAGACAGCAGAGCAGUUUUGUGAGAUGGAUCGGAGGCACCAUAUUAACCCUGACAAGGAUGAGAAACCUGAAUGGGUCAGGGAAAUGGCUCUAGAUGAAGAGCUGCAAAGGCAGGGUGACCUGGCCCUUUUAGAGGAGGAUAGCUUCCCUGAAGGGGUGGUAGAGAUACCUGAUAAUGCCAAUGAAGUGUUCAUGCUAUAGACCCUGAGCGUGAAAUGUAAUUAUUAACUCUACUUAUAUAACAAUGCAGUCUGUAUUCUUUCUUUUUUUUUCUUACAGCAGCAGCAAGCAAUGUCUGGAACAUUGUACUUAAUUUUUUUCGUUAUUCUCUCUCUUCUACACUGGCUACAUCUGCACAGCUGCAGCAGAGCGUGAUGUAGGUAGCAGUGGGGGCUAAACCUACCUAAUCAAAGUGGCAUCUGGUGAACCAUGCUGCACUGGCAAAAACACAGCUAGUCGCCAUGUGAGAGGCCACAGCCAACACCUUGUCUGCCACAGUCAUCCCAGCACCGCAUCUGUGGAUUUAACAAUAAGCUACCACCUGUCAGGUUAGUGGGUCAGGCCUACAGCAGCAUCAGCAUUGAAGCUGUUGCUACAGCCAGGCUGUUCCCACUGGCCUGACCCAAUAGAUCCUCCUCAGUCAUGGCGGCCAGUGUGGCCGAGUGGUUCUAGGCACUACAGUCUGGAACCGCGUGACUGCCACAUUCGCAGGUUCAAAUCCUGCCUCAGGCAUGGCUGUGUGUGAUGUCCUUAGGUUAGUUAGGUUUAAGUAGUUCUAAGUUAUAGGGGACUGAUGAGCUCAGAAGUUAAGUCCCAUAGUGCUCAGAGCCAUUUUUUUAAGAUGUUGUGGAGAUGGUGAACACUACAGUAGAGUUUACAAAACCUAUUUAUGUGGGGAUACGCAUACAAGACCUAUCAGAAAAUGGUUCAAAUGGCUCUGAGCACUAUGGGACUUAACUUCUGAGAUCCUCAGUCCCCUAGAACUUAGAACUACUGAAACCUAACUAACCUAAGGACAUCACACAUGCAUGCCCGAGGCAGGACUCGAACCUGCAACAAUAGCAGCAACGCGGUUCCGGACUGAAGCGCCUGGAACCGCUCAGCCACUCCGGCCGGCCAAGACCUAUCCAAACUCCACAUGUACCACUUUCGUUCUGAGUUGGCGAAAAUCAUUUUGCAGAUCCUAAAUUACUGUAUAUGGAUACAGACAGCUUCAUCUGCAGGGUGAAGAAUUGUUAUCCAUAUGAAGUAAUGAGGUACCACAGUGAUGAAUUCGAUGUGUCCUCAUACAUGUCCAAUAAUCGUUGUGGCAUUCUUCCACAGAACAAGGUUAUCAGCCGUAUAAAAGACGAGGAGAAUGGAUAGCAAAUUGUGGAGUUUGUAGGUCUGUGAUAAAAAAGUGUAAGCAAAUCGCACAUUGGAUGGUGCCACCUAGAGGUGGGCUAAGGGUGUGCAUCAGAUGGCAUCGUGCACCCUCUCUGUCGAAGACUAUUUGCAGUGCGUGUACAUCAGUGUCUGCAGUGCAUAUGGUAAGGCAAACUAGUAUUCUAUCGAGAGGACUGUGCUGCAGUCUAAAAUCGGCCUGUUGCCUCAUAUUGAUAAAAGGGUCAUUUGUGAUGGGAUUGAAACUUACCCAUACUCACACUACUUGCUUCUCACUUGUAGCGAGAGAAGGGAUGGGGGAGCAGUUCUGAUUGAGUGAAAGAGAGAAAGAGUGAGAGAGAGAGCGCCGGCCGAAGUGGCCGUGCGGUUAAAGGCGCUGCAGUCUGGAACCGCAAGACCGCUACGGUCGCAGGUUCGAAUCCUGCCUCGGGCAUGGAUGUUUGUGAUGUCCUUAGGUUAGUUAGGUUUAACUAGUUCUAAGUUCUAGGGGACUAAUGACCUCAGCAGUUGAGUCCCAUAGUGCUCAGAGCCAUUUGAACCAUUUUUGAGAGAGAGAGCGAGUCUACAGAGUAGUAGUGUGACCCCUUUAUCAUAAUGUAAGUGGUUGUGUGUGUAUGUGUGUGUGUGUGUGUGGUGUAAAUAUUUAUUUAUUUAUGUGUACUAUAUACAUGUGCACACACCAUGUAUGGAAAAAAGCACAAAAAAUGUAUGUUUAGUGUGUGUGUGUGUGUGUGUGUAUAUAUAUAUAUAUAUAUAUAUAUAUCUCACAGUCCCUUAGAAUUUUUGUAAAAUUUUUGGUAAUUGGGCCGUGGAAAUUAGUUUCUAGGUGUACACACUAAAUCAAAAUUAUUGUAAAAGCUAUGCUUCUGGGAUUGUGGACUUUAGUUGUAGAAGUAAAAAAAGUAUCUCCUUGUUAGUUUUUAGCAUAGAUUUGUAUAUUUGGAAAUAUUGUAAACAUUCUCAUCCAGUGCUGUUUGUAAAAACACUUGUAAAUGUAUUCUCAACCAGUAUCACUGUUGUAGUAUGUAAGUUAAAAGUGUCCCUGCAUUGGAAUAUCAGAGUCAAACUGUACCUCAAGAACUAUGUUGUACCUCAAGAACCAUACUGUACCUGAAGAACUGUAUUGUACCUUGAGAACUGAAAUGUAUCUCAAGAACUGUAUUGUAUCUCAUGAACUGAAUUGUAUCUGUGUGAACUGAAUAAAUGAAAAAAUCGUUACUGUA